AACGAACGCUUGUGGCGCGCCUAAUACAUGCAAGUCGAGCGAGAAAGUACUUCGGUAUGAGUACAGCGGCGGACGGGUGAGGAACACGUAGAUAAUCUGCCUUAAAGAGGGGGAUAACUAAUCGAAAGAUUAGCUAAUACCGCAUAAGACCACAGGAGCUUCGGCUCUAGGGGUUAAAGGAGUAAUCCACUUUAAGAUGAGUCUGCGUCCGAUUAGCUAGUUGGUAGGGUAAUGGCCUACCAAGGCAACGAUCGGUAACUGGUCUGAGAGGAUGGCCAGUCACACUGGAACUGAGACACGGUCCAGACUCCUACGGGAGGCAGCAGUAGGGAAUAUUGCACAAUGGAGGAAACUCUGAUGCAGCGACGCCGCGUGAGUGAUGAAGGCCUUCGGGUUGUAAAACUCUGUGAUAAGGGAAGAUGAUGACGGUACCUUAUCAGAAAAGACCGGCUAACUUCGUGCCAGCCGCCGCCGUAAAAC
rnacentral:rRNA from 1 species